rnacentral:siRNA from 1 species
UUAUUGGUGUACUACAUUUGGUAU